rnacentral:tRNA from 1 species
GGAGAGGUCGCAUAGCGGCCGAGUGCGCUCGCUUGGAAAGCGAGUGGCCCGCAAGGGCUCGCGAGUUCGAAUCUCGCCCUCUCCGCCA